rnacentral:lncRNA from 1 species
CAUUUCCUUCCCUUUGCAGGGGAAACUCUCCUGUCCAUGGCAUGGGGGCUUGUUCCUCCUCACCAUGAUGAAACAUGCCCUGGAUCCCAGAUGUCCUUCAUCCUCUGACCUGCUUGGGCCUGGAUUGGGAGGUAGGAUGUGUGCAUUCCAAAGGCUGGAAGCUGGUGAAAUGAUGCCAUUCCCUGUGUGGGAAUUCUUCCUGUCCUUGAGCACGUCUAGAUGGCACGAGGUGGUGGCACCUUGUCCCCCACCAUGGUUUCUGGUGGUGUCUGAUGCUGCCUUCUCCUCCCCGUGGGUGAAUCACUGUUGUUCCCAGGUUAUCUGAGCUGGCUAUAGCCCCUCCUUCCCCUGGUGAAGGGAGCCAAGCACCCUGAAAUCUGGAAGGGUUUUCCUGGCUACACAAGCUGGGCACCUCGGGUGAAGUGGGAUGUCUCAAAGCCAAGCUAUUUUCUAGCAUGGGAAAGGAGGAACAGUUACUGCUCCUAACUACAGUUAUUUAACGGCUGCCAGGGCUUCAGCAUCUGCCUGGAUUAAUCUGGAUUUUGUGGUGGGCAGCAGCCAUUCAGCCCAAGUGCCUGGCAUUACAGUCCUGGUGGAUUUUGGAGGUGAAAAGCCCAGAGUCCUUCACGGGGGUUUCUGCCAAGCUGUAAAGCUCAUCCUGGUUCUCCAUGCUGCUGGAAAACCUGGUGGAGCUCUUCCUCCUUGGAAAGCAUUCACCAUGGAGAAGAAUUUUGUGUUCAGCUUCUCAACCCUUGGCCUGCGUUGUCUCAAGCUACUUCUGCCCUCCUGGCUGUUUGUGGCAGCCAGAGAGCACCUGAUUCUUGUCUCCCAGACCUUAAACCACAGCCUGGCAGCCUCCAAGGGAUCCUCCCUGCUUGGGGUGCUGUUUGUGGGACUGCUGGUGGCUCUGGAUCCCAAGGAGCGUUCCCAUCCCAUCACCACCGGCUGCCAGCAUCGGGAUCACGGUAAGGCUGCUGCUCCCUGCCCCCAGAGUGUGUUCUGUGUG